AGAGUUUGAUCCUGGCUCAGAAUCAACGCUGGCGGCGUGCCUAACACAUGCAAGUCGAACGAGAAAGUGGGGGCAACUCCAUGAGUAAAGUGGCGACCGGGUGAGUAACACGUAGCUAACCUACCCUCGAGCGGGGGAUAACCUGGGGAAACCUGGGCUAAUACCGCAUAACAUCCCGAUGUCCAUGAUAUUGGGAGCAAAGGCCCGCAAGGGUCACUGGAGGAGGGGGCUGCGGACGAUUAGCUAGUUGGUGAGGUAACGGCUCACCAAGGCGAUGAUCGUUAGCCGGCCUGAGAGGGCGCACGGCCACACUGGCACUGACACACGGGCCAGACUCCUACGGGAGGCAGCAGUGGGGAAUUUUGCACAAUGCCCGAAAGGGUGAUGCAGCAACGCCGCGUGAGGGAUGAAGGCCUUCGGGUCG
rnacentral:rRNA from 1 species